rnacentral:rRNA from 1 species
GAUGAACGCUGGCGGCGUGCCUAAUACAUGCAAGUCGAGCGAACGGACGAGAAGCUUGCUUCUCUGAUGUUAGCGGCGGACGGGUGAGUAACACGUGGAUAACCUACCUAUAAGACUGGGAUAACUUCGGGAAACCGGCGCUAAUACCGGAUAAUAUUUUGAACCGCAUGGUUCAAAAGUGAAAGACGGUCUUGCUGUCACUUAUAGAUGGAUCCGCGCUGCAUUAGCUAGUUGGUAAGGUAACGGCUUACCAAGGCAACGAUGCAUAGCCGACCUGAGAGAGUGAUCGGCCACACUGGAACUGAGACACGGUCCAGACUCCUACGGGAGGCAGCAGUAGGGAAUCUUCCGCAAUGGGCGAGAGCCUGACGGAGCAACGCCGCGUGAGUGAUGAAGGUCUUCGGAUCGUAAAACUCUGUUAUUAGGGAAGAACAUAUGUGUAAGUAACUGUGCACAGCUUGACGGUACCUAAUCAGAAAGCCACGGCUAACUACGUG